UAAGUGAAGAGUUUGAUCCUGGCUCAGAGUGAACGCUGGCGGUAGGCCUAACACAUGCAAGUCGAACGGCAGCACAGGAGAGCUUGCUCUCUGGGUGGCGAGUGGCGG
rnacentral:rRNA from 1 species